GGAAGUCACUGCUUUGGUAUUUCAAGGUGGGGAUGGAAGUCCUGGUUCCCCACUUGGCCUCGGUUGAUACCUCCUUGCUGUUCAGGGUGGGAGUUCCACUCCCCACUGGGCCUUGACAAGAGCACACUGGCUGGGAGGUAGAGAAGCACCUUGCUCUUAAUCCACUUAUUCCAGCCAGGGAAGGGGGCCUCGCGGGGAUGAAGAUCCUGACUUCCCCUCUCUGACACCACCCGAGACGGAGGCUGAAGUGCCUCAUUUGUCAUAGUUCAGAUGUGAGGUGUCUCCCACAAGCUCAGGUACGAGACAGCACAAGGAAGUUUAACUGGGUGGUAACUGUAAGUAGGUAAGCUGUGGCUGAGGGGAUGGGUCCCUGGGGGCCAUGCCUUGGGGUUUUUAUUUUGUCCCUGGGUGAGGAACUCUCUCUGCCUCCUGGUGGCCAUGCCCUGAGCUGCUUUCCUCCGCCACACUCUUCCACCAGGAUGUUCCUCCUUACCAGGCUCCCGGAACAAUGAAGCUGGCUGUCUCGGGACUGAGACCUCUCGAACCACGAGUGCCAAAUAGGUUUCUCCUCUAAAAUUGUUCUGGUCAGGUCUUUUGAUCACAGCAGUGAAGAACCUAACUCAACAUCAUUAUCGCCUGUCCAGGGUGGAAGUCUCAGCUUCCCACUGACUUGGAGAGAAGGAAACAGAAUUGGAGAAGUAAGGCCUUGUCCCAGGUCUGAUGGCUGAAAGGAAUAAAGCUGGCACCAAGCACCUGCACAUCUAUGUAAACUCCCUAAAGAGGGUCCGGUUCCCAAAGCUGCCAGAGGCAAGGCCUAUAGGGAUUGGGGCUUGAGCAGGGCAAGGGGCAGGAGGUGAGUGAAAAGACCCUACUAGUUCCCGGCUGAAAAUCCUGAGCCUUCUGUUUCUUCCAGGAAGCCCCUCUCCUCAGCCUGGCAUCCAGAACCCUUUUGGACUUACUCUUAUGAAAGUAUCAUCCAGGUGGACUCUUGCUGCAAACCCUGCUUUCUGCACUUAGAAUGGGAUCGACGCCCCAGGCCCCAAGAUCCCCUGGCCUUCACACUCUGCUGACUUGCUGAACCCUGAAGCUGUUGUACACUCUUUCCCUCCCACCUGAAUGCACCAGGUUCAUGCCUGACACGAGCCUUUGCUCUGCUGCUGCCUCACUCUGGACAGCUAUAUGUACAUCUCCUCAUGGGUCACCUCAGUGGAGAAGCUACCUAUCACCCUAAAUGAUGCCCCCCCCGCACCCGUCAGCCUGGGUCACUGCCAUUCCCAUUCCCUGAAAUCCCUUCAUGUUCGUUUUUUUGUGUGUUUAUUUUCUGUCUCCUGGCUAGGGUCGCAUGGGGUAGGAUGGACCAUCUCAUUUCUGAUGAGGUUCAGUAAGGUGCUGCAACAUGGAUGAAUGGAUGGAUGCUCAGAGAUGGCUGGCUCCAGACCCUUAGACACUGCUGGGUGCCAUCUGCUGGCCUGUCUGAAGAAGCGUGGACUGUAUGGCCAGGGCCUCCAGCUUGGGGAAAUGCCCACACAGGGUCAGAGGCCAGGCUUAUUGGAAGACUCAGUGAAGCCAAGGAACUGAGGAAGCCACUAAAACUCUCUAGUGAGCAGAUGCUAUUUGUCCCUUCCUGAUGCAGCACUGGCCAGAGGGUUCCUUGUCUCUCCUGGGAAGAACUGGCUGGGCCUCUCCAGGCACAGAUUAGAAUUAAGCCCGUCCCUCGCCUGUCACCUUCUCUGGAAUAGGUGGGCCUAGGCCUGGAAACAUAGGGUGGGACCAAGGCCUGGCUCUUCAUUCUGCUUCUGUGCAGCCCUGGCCUUGUGUUUUGCUCUCUCUGGCCUCUACACUUGCUGUUCUAAACAGUGAAGUACAAUAAAGUCUCAACAUCCUCA